AGAGUCAACGCACGACGGGUGGCUAGCGGGUCGAGAGAGGCCACCACCUGGUGAUAUUUCGUGUCGUCAGCCGAGAUGCCACGAAGGGCGAACUGAGCCUCCACGUGCACGAACCACGACGGGGGAUCGUGAAGCCAAAAGUCCGGCAGCUUGAGCGGCACAACAAACGCAGCUGCAGCCGGAGGCAGAGGGCUGGCGGCUGCUGAUGCAUCCAGAGCAGAGUCAGUGCCACCAUCGGACUGCAGCAUGUUCGAGUCAGGGGUCACCAAUGUGGAGGGGUGUAACAUUUGGAGGCACCGCUGGGAUCGCUGCUUAGAUGUCCGGUGUCCACAAUCUGCACAUCGUAGUCCAAGCCAGCCAAAUCCCCCCAUACAACCCAGGCAGACUGCAGUGAGGAAAGUGUUGCUGUCGAGGCGAACUGGUAGCUGUGUUUUAGCGCAUGUUUCCUGAGGCCAGCCAGAGAUCAUCAGGGGCUGCAAAA
ensembl:lncRNA